ACAAUAGAAUACGCCCUGAACUUAAGCAUAUCAUUAAGGGCAGGAAAAGAAACCAACUGGGAUUCCAUUAGUAGCGGCGAGUGAACAUGGAUGGGCUCCAAUGGUAAAGUGUACUUGUGCACUGUUGUAGGAGAGCACAGAGAGACUAACCUGAUGGAAAGCAGGCCUUCUACGAGUGAUAGGCUCGGAAGUUUCUCUGGCGAAUUUGAGCGAGUAGUGUUGCUUGGUAGUGCAAUGUGAACGGGAGGUAGUAACUUCCAAAGCUAAAUAUACCCAGAGAUCGAUAGCGAAUAAGUAGCGCGAGCGAAGUUUGAAAAAAUUUCAUUUAGAAAGUGAAACAGUGAAAG
rnacentral:rRNA from 1 species